GACGAACGCUGGCGGCGUGCCUAAUACAUGCAAGUAGAACGCAGUUGCGAACGGGUGAGUAACGCGCGGGUAACUGCCUCACAGCGGGGGAUAACUAUUGGAAACGAUAGCUAAUACCGCAUACUGUGAGAUGGACCUGUGUUGGAUUAGCUAGUUGGUGGGGUAAAGGCUCACCAAGGCGACGAUACAUAGCCGACCUGGGAGGGUGAGCGGCCCCCCCGGGACUGGAACACGGCCCAGGCUCCUACGGGAAGGAGCAGUAGGGGAACUUCGGAAAGGGACGUAAGUCUGAGCGAGCAACAGCGCGUGAGUGUAAAAGGUUUUCGGAUCUUAAAUCUCAGUUGUUUGGGAAGCGGUAACUAACCAGAAAGGAACGGCUAACUCCGUGCCAGCAGCCGCGGUAAUUC
rnacentral:rRNA from 1 species